CCUACGGGUGGCAGCAGUGAGGAAUAUUGGUCAAUGGACGCAAGUCUGAACCAGCCAUUCCGCGUGCAGGAAGACGGCCCUAUGGGUUGUAAACUGCUUUUUUACGAGGGUAAACGCAUAUACUCGUAUCUGUCUGAAAGUAUCGUACGAAUAAGGUUCGGAUAACUCCGUGCCAUCAGCCCCGGUAAUACGGAGGAUCCAAGCGUUAUCCGGAUUUAUUGGGUUUAAAGGGUGCGUAGGCGGUCGGUUAAGUUAGAUGUGAAAGCCCGAGGCUCAACCUCGGAAUUGCCGCUGAUACUGGACGGCUAGAGAGUAGUUGCGGUAGGCGGAAUGCAUGGUGUAGCGGUGAAAUGCUUAGAGAUCAUACAGAACACCGAUUGCGAAGGCAGCUUACUGGGCUACUUCUGACGCUGAGGCACGAAAGCGUGGGGAGCAAACAGGAUUAGAUACCCUUGUAGUC
rnacentral:rRNA from 1 species